GAUGAACGCUGGCGGCGUGCCUAAUACAUGCAAGUCGAGCGAACGGACGAGAAGCUUGCUUCUCUGAUGUUAGCGGCGGACGGGUGAGUAACACGUGGAUAACCUACCUAUAAGACUGGGAUAACUUCGGGAAACCGGAGCUAAUACCGGAUAAUAUUUUGAACCGCAUGGUUCAAAAGUGAAAGACGGUCUUGCUGUCACUUAUAGAUGGAUCCGCGCUGCAUUAGCUAGUUGGUAAGGUAACGGCUUACCAAGGCAACGAUGCAUAGCCGACCUGAGAGGGUGAUCGGCCACACUGGAACUGAGACACGGUCCAGACUCCUACGGGAGGCAGCAGUAGGGAAUCUUCCGCAAUGGGCGAAAGCCUGACGGAGCAACGCCGCGUGAGUGAUGAAGGUCUUCGGGUCGUAAAACUCUGUUAUUAGGGAAGAACAUAUGUGUAAGUAACUGUGCACAUCUUGACGGUACCUAAUCAGAAAGCCACGGCUAACUACGUGCCAGCAGCCGCGGUAAUACGUAGGUGGCAAGCGUUAUCCGGAAUUAUUGGGCGUAAAGCGCGCGUAGGCGGUUUUUUAAGUCUGAUGUGAAAGCCCACGGCUCAACCGUGGAGGGUCAUUGGAAACUGGAAAACUUGAGUGCAGAAGAGGAAAGUGGAAUUCCAUGUGUAGCGGUGAAAUGCGCAGAGAUAUGGAGGAACACCAGUGGCGAAGGCGACUUUCUGGUCUGUAACUGACGCUGAUGUGCGAAAGCGUGGGGAUCAAACAGGAUUAGAUACCCUGGUAGUCCACGCCGUAAACGAUGAGUGCUAAGUGUUAGGGGGUUUCCGCCCCUUAGUGCUGCAGCUAACGCAUUAAGCACUCCGCCUGGGGAGUACGACCGCAAGGUUGAAACUCAAAGGAAUUGACGGGGACCCGCACAAGCGGUGGAGCAUGUGGUUUAAUUCGAAGCAACGCGAAGAACCUUACCAAAUCUUGACAUCCUUUGACAACUCUAGAGAUAGAGCCUUCCCCUUCGGGGGACAAAGUGACAGGUGGUGCAUGGUUGUCGUCAGCUCGUGUCGUGAGAUGUUGGGUUAAGUCCCGCAACGAGCGCAACCCUUAAGCUUAGUUGCCAUCAUUAAGUUGGGCACUCUAAGUUGACUGCCGGUGACAAACCGGAGGAAGGUGGGGAUGACGUCAAAUCAUCAUGCCCCUUAUGAUUUGGGCUACACACGUGCUACAAUGGACAAUACAAAGGGCAGCGAAACCGCGAGGUCAAGCAAAUCCCAUAAAGUUGUUCUCAGUUCGGAUUGUAGUCUGCAACUCGACUACAUGAAGCUGGAAUCGCUAGUAAUCGUAGAUCAGCAUGCUACGGUGAAUACGUUCCCGGGUCU
rnacentral:rRNA from 1 species